rnacentral:rRNA from 1 species
GACGAACGCUGGCGGCGUGCUUAACACAUGCAAGUCGAGCGGAAAGGCCCUUCGGGGUGCUCGAGCGGCGAACGGGUGAGUAACACGUGAGUAACCUGCCCCAGACUUUGGGAUAACCCUCUGAAACGGGGGCUAAUACCGGUUACGACACAGCUUCGCAUGGGGUCUGUGUGGACAGUUUUUCGGUUUGGGUUGGGAUCGCGGCCUAUCAGCUUGGUGGUGGGGUGUUGGCAUUCCGAGGCGACGACGGGUAGCCGGGCUGCGAGGGCGACCCGCCACCCUGGGACGGAGACACGACCCAGACUACUACGCGAGGCAGCGGUGGGGAAUAUUGCACAAUGGGCGGAAGCCUGAUGCAGCGACGCAGCGUGAGGGAUGUCGGCCAUCGGGUAGUAAACCUCUUUCAGCAGGGACGAAGCGUAAGUGACGGUACCUGCAGAAGAAGCGCCGGCCAACUACGUG